rnacentral:misc_RNA from 1 species
AAGUCGUAACAAGGUUUCCGUAGGUGAACCUGCGGAAGGAUCAUUACCAAAUACUGCUUGCCUGGAUGGAUUCGUCCGUUCUGCAAACAACACCCCCCUGCGUACCUGUACCUGUUGCUUCCGUCAGCCAGCGGAUGCCUUUUGGGGCGUCCCCUCCGGUGCCUGGCCAGUUCAUGGCCGGCUGGGGAGUUGCUGGCGGCGAGCCCAAAAACAAAACACAUGUCAUUUCUCUGCCUAGUCUGAGCUUUGAUGCUACGAAACAAAAACAAGUUAAAACUUUCAAUAACGGAUCUCUUGGUUCUC